rnacentral:lncRNA from 1 species
AACAGGUUUUUCCGAGCAUGUGUUUUUCAGGUUGCCAUGCUCGCCCUUCAACGUCUAGAUUCUAGAAGGGCUGACCUGAUAGAUUUGCCAGCACUAUUGAUGCUUUGGGGACUACUGACAUCCUGAGGUCCCCACCCCUCCCUUGUUUCGGAACUUCCACUUUCUUUCAUCGCUUGCCAGCUACCAGAGUACCUCAGGGAACCAGAAGGAAUUCUCUGGUGAAGAAAGCAGUACAUAGCAGGCCCCUCCAUAGCUUCCCCAGGCCAGCUCACGCCAGAGAUCUAUCUGCUUGCAUGUCUCAGCGUAGGGGGACAUUCCAUGGUGGAGACAAGCCUUAGGGAGGCAGUAUUCUGGAGUCCCCGGAUCUGCCACACACGACUGUCAAAUGACAUCUCUUGAAGCUUCAGUUGCCUUUUGUGCCCAGGGAGGUGAAUAAUGGCAUCUUUUUCUGCUCACGGGAAGGGGCCGGUGUGAGGAGUUGUCCCACCUGCUUCACAGUGCUCACCCAUUGCUGCCAUUGGGUUUCUUGUGUGUCAGCAUCAGGUGUUAAACUGGGCCGAAGGUAAUAUUUUCGGCAUUGAUGGGAGAGUCCUCACUAUGAUUCCAGACACCAGAGUUUUUCUCCACCUGGGUAAAUGUUCAUCUCUCCUGGAUCCUCUGGAUCCCAGAAGCAUCUAGAAGGUUCCUCAGACAAGUGCUGUUGCUCCAGGAGCAGGAAUGCCUAGCGCCGGGUGGGUAAGGGGCCCUGCCAGUCUCCAGGAACAAUUCCGACAGAGAUCCCAGAGGGCGUCAGCCACACUCCUGAUGGCCACCAGCCACUGAACUCCUGGAAUGCGAUGGAUAUACUUCUAAAUGCCACCCGGACUUGAUGGUUUUGUGCUCCACAGCCAACACAGUGGCACAUUGUUCACUGGCUCACAGAUCUGCAGAAUCAUCAGAAUGCGUGGGAAAGAUGCUGCGUGGAUCACAGCUCUUUGCUCUGUAAACUGGCAGAUGGGGAAACACCCCUAGGAAUUUUCUGGAAGGAUUUUAACCUAUCUGGAGGAGGACAGCGGCGUUUCUACACAGGAAGGACAACCAUGCAUGAACAUGUCGCUGCUGUUGUGUCUGCCGUGAGAAAAAGAAGUGCCACAAACGCACGGCCCACACGGCCACCUCAAGGAGGGCUCCUAGCAUCCUCCUGGCCUUGGAUUUCUUCAAGGUCUUUGGCACUAACUAGCAUAAUCUUUAGGCUCACAGAAUCUCUCUAGCUCUGGCCUUUAGCUUUUUCUGUUCUACCCUAUUGACUUACUUCAAAUGAAUAAUGUCACAACUUUUUCAUUUAAAGGAGGAGAACAAGCUUGGCAGAUGAUU